CUGGGAGAUAUCACAGCCCACUCCAUGCCACCUUAUUUACCUAAAGAAUCUGUGAUCAUGAACAAGCAUUCUGCUUCCUUCUAGAAGUCAAGUUAAAUCUGCUUCCCUGCCCUGCCAAGAAGUAGUCAUAGAAUCCCCUAUCAAGGAUUCUGAUGGUCAAUGCCAUGAGGGUGAUGGUCAUUCUUCUUCCCUUUAAGCCGCAGGAUCCUCUUCAUUUAACUAAUCAUGCUGGCAUGAUGUCAUGCAGAUGCUCAGAAAGUGUGUAAAUGUAAUGCAUGGGGAAACAGUGUGUCACUAAAGCACUACAGAGAUGCUGCCAACCCUGGUUACCUGAACUCUCCACAAUUUAAAGGCAAAGAAGAAGCCAGCAGGAGAAGAUAAGUCCAAAAGACUUCCAGGCACCUGUGGCUCAGGUCAAUCUCGUAAGAACCUGUUCCUCCAUGGCAUGCCACCUGUCUGUGAAAGGCACAAUAAGAAAGCAUCAGAUCCCUCUUCCAGUGGAUGAUGGAAUCAGAGGCAGACACCCACAGAU
rnacentral:lncRNA from 1 species